CCAUACUCUAACGGUUCGGGUUAGAAACAUGGAAGCAAAUCGCUUCGUACGUGUUCGAGGAAUUUUAACUACGUACGGAUGCAGACCUUGACGGUGCCUUGCGGUGCGAUGGAAGAAAGGUGAAGGAGGAAUCAGGUCAAAAA